CGCGGCCUAUCAGCUUGUUGGUGGGGUGAUGGCCUACCAAGGCGACGACGGGUAGCCGGCCUGAGAGGGCGACCGGCCACACUGGGACUGAGACACGGCCCAGACUCCUACGGGAGGCAGCAGUGGGGAAUAUUGCGCAAUGGGCGGAAGCCUGACGCAGCGACGCCGCGUGGGGGAUGACGGCCUUCGGGUUGUAAACCUCUUUCGCCAUCGACGAAGCCCCUUCGGGGGUGACGGUAGGUGGAGAAGAAGCACCGGCCAACUACGUGCCAGCAGCCGCGGUAACACGUAGGGUGCGAGCGUUGUCCGGAAUUAUUGGGCGUAAAGAGCUCGUAGGCGGUGUGUCGCGUCGGCCGUGAAAACUUGGGGCUCAACCCCGAGCUUGCGGUCGAUACGGGCAUCACUGGAGUUCGGCAGGGGAGACUGGAAUUCCUGGUGUAGCGGUGAAAUGCGCAGAUAUCAGGAGGAACACCGGUGGCGAAGGCGGGUCUCUGGGCCGAUACUGACGCUGAGGAGCGAAAGCGUGGGGAGCGAACAGGAUUAGAUACCCUGGUAGUCCACGCCGUAAACGUUGGGCGCUAGGUGUGGGGGCCAUUCCACGGUCUCUGUGCCGCAGCUAACGCAUUAAGCGCCCCGCCUGGGGAGUACGG
rnacentral:rRNA from 1 species